rnacentral:rRNA from 1 species
UACGUAGGGGCCUAGCGUUGUCCGGAAUUAUUGGGCGUAAAGAGCUCGUAGGUGGUUCGGCAAGUCGGAUGUGAAAUCUCCACGCUUAACGUGGAGGGGCCAUUCGAAACUGCUGUGACUUGAGUCCGGUAGGGGAGUGUGGAAUUCCCGGUGUAGCGGUGAAAUGCGCAGAUAUCGGGAGGAACACCGGUGGCGAAGGCGGGUCUCUGGGCCGAUACUGACGCUGAGGAGCGAAAGCGUGGGGAGCGAACAGG